CAACAUGAAGUCUUUAUUCAAGUGCAUAUAUAGUUGCCAAAAACAACAAUACUCACUACUCAAAAACCAAGUCCUUUCUCCUAACUACAUAUUUUGCAAAAGAUAGAAAUGAAUGACACUAAGAAUGCCGAUCCCAUCUCUGCUAAAGGUCCUCCGACGAUGGCACCACCUCAAUACGAUCUUCCACCACCCAAAAGUCAGAGUAGUGAAUUCUGUGAGUUCUGUAUUACAGCUCUAUGUUGUUGUUGCGUCUUAGAUGGGUGUUUCUGUGACCCUUCAAUCUUAUGUAUGAGCUGCUGCUAAAUCAUGCAAUGUGAUUUGAUAUUUAAUGCAAUGUGGACAAAUAACAAUUCUUGAGUUACAUUGGGUCCCUUAUCUUCUUAAUCAUCAACUUGGAUUUGAAUUCAAAUGUGCAAACUACUUUAUUCAACAACUGUGUGACUGGGACAGUUUGUAAUGUUUUGUAGUAGUUUCUUCUUUUAACGUUUAUGCUUAGUAAAAUUUUAGUGUUUGUACAAAGGGCUUCUUUUAAAUUGAUUUCAUUUUGCUUUUACACAAAAACUAGUGUCUUACCCGUGCGUUCGCACGGGUACCCGUCGUUUUUGCGCAAUUGUGAUUGAGGGAAAUAAAAGAUGAUAGGAAAAGUGUUAUUUUGUUCAAUAUACAUAUUAUUGUAGAAGUAAAUAUUCUAAAAAUAAAUUUGUAAAAUAUAGAAAUUUCUUUUCAAUAGGUUGGGACAAAAUUUGGGAUAUACUGGUUAAAAAACAUUAUUUUCCCCUUAAUAUUCAAUAUUUCGAUCAAUAACUUCAUGUUCCGUUAAUAUUUAAUAUUUUGAUGAAUAACUCACGUUCCCGUUAAUAUUGAAUAUUUUAUUCAGUAACUUCAUGU